GAUGAUCCUCAGAAUUUAUUGGUUGAAGGUAUAACUGAGGCUACUGUAGCUGCUGAGAAGAAAGAGAAGAUGAUGGCUCUUGAGAAACAGUAUCAUGAUGAGUUAAAAUUGGAGCUUCAAGGAGCACAAUAUCCUUCAGCUAUUUCAAAACUUGAUAAGCAAUCAUCGGACGAGGAUUCUGACCUCCCUGAUUAUCAGCAAAUUGCUGAAGAUAAUGCUAACCUGUCAAUGGUUUUGAUGUCACGAAAGAAGAGCGGC
rnacentral:misc_RNA from 1 species